UAGAGCACCUGCCUUGCACGCAGGGGGUCAAGGGUUCGAGUCCCUUAUCCUCCA
rnacentral:tRNA from 1 species